GUGAAUCAUCAAAUUUUUGAACGCAAAUUGCGCUUCCUGGCAUCCCGGGAAGUAUGCCUGUUUGAGGGUCAGUUUUAAUAAAAAAUUGGUUUAGUUACAAAUUGUGAGGCUUCCGGAGUUUGGGUUAUCUUAAUAUGUUUGGUUAAGAGAUUUAAAAUUGACAUUUUUUGUGCCUUUUUAAAAGUACAUAACUUUUUUUUAUUCGUCUAUUCUGAAUGCCAAAAUCUUAUUAGUUGCGAUCACACCGAGU
rnacentral:misc_RNA from 1 species